UACGUAGGGACCAAGCGUUGUUCGGAUUUACUGGGCGUAAAGGGCGCGUAGGCGGCAAUUCAAGUCAGCUGUGAAAUCUCCGGGCUUAACUCGGAACGGUCAGCUGAUACUGCUUUGCUAGAGUGCAGAAGGGGCAACUGGAAUUCUCGGUGUAGCGGUGAAAUGCGUAGAUAUCGAGAGGAACACCUGCGGCGAAGGCGGGUUGCUGGGCUGACACUGACGCUGAGGCGCGAAAGCUAGGGGAGCGAACGGG
rnacentral:rRNA from 1 species